AGCUCUCUCUUUGGAGCCAUAUGCACUAAAAUGUAGACUGUUGCAGAAGAGAGCAGCAUGGUCUCUGUGCAAGGAUGACACGGGAAAUCAAGAAGUAUUUGAUAUUAUU